CGCGGGUUGGCGCACGGUGCCAAGCCCCUCGCGGUGCACCCUGGCCCUCGCGGCCUCUGCUUGGGGCGCUCUAGCAGCGCGGGGACUGUUGGCUGACUUCUGGUGGGUUGCAGUUAACUGACACAGCUUGUCAGCAGGGGAAAACCAGGUUGCCCCAAGGACUUACCGACGCCCCCAAAAUAGAUCCCUGCUUCCUGCGUUCCUUUCCCUCCCUCUCCCCCACUUUCUCCCUCCCUCUCCCCACCCCUUCUCAUUGCCGCUAACCUUUCCCUCUCUACCCUCCUUCUCCCGCCCUUUUUCUCAGCCUACAGUUCCAAUUCCAGCGCAGGUAUGAACACCAGAUUUUAGGUCUGCAAACUGACUCGAGGCAUUCCCAGUAGCGCAAGCUUUCCAGGGUUGACAGGGCAUUUUCUUCUGUGCUCAGCUGGCCUAACCAAAAGAAAGGAGUGUCACCUCAUCUCAUCAUCUUUUGGAUAAAUCUAGAACCACGGAGGAUUUAAUUCCAAGAAGGCUGAUCCAGCAAGUGAUUUUCUUUGGAGUGGAUAACCAUUUGUUAUAGCCAUAGCGAUUUGAUUGGUGGAGCCGAUGGCCUCCCUUAGCCAAGGUAGAUUGGCUGUCUUUUCUUCCCGCGCAGGCAGUAAAGGAAACCUCGUCACUUACUUCACCCCUGAAAGCAGUUUGGGUUCACAGUCUUUAAGGAAAACUCCAGAAUACCAGGAGUUUGGGGAGGACAUUGAUCUUUCCGUUCCGCCCAUCCAUUCCCUUUUUACCGAUUUUUUUUAAUUGCAAAGAAAAAAAAAGUUACACACAAACGGGGUAAAAUAUAUGAACCAAACAUAGUGAGACAGUUGCUUCUUUUUCUCCAGGUCUUUUAUAGCUUCCCAAAAGGACAGAGGGAACUGUGGGCCUCAUAGGUUUCCCAGAUUUUCCGUAGUUGUUAGAAACUUAGGUUUUCCUUCGCGUCCGCUUCCCUGCGACCUGUUGAUGACUCCGAGUGGCGGAGCGCGAAGCUCUGCGUUGAAGUUGGUUAUGUAAACUGCUUGUGUAUUUCACAUUAUCAUCGCACUGUCUGGAGGCAAUGUAGAUUUUCUAAAGAUCUAAUGAAUAAACAACCAGCAACUGCUGGCGGUGUAAUUUACAUUGUUAAUGCCUACAUGUGUAUAAUAAAUAUGCAUUUGUAUGCCUUCAAAUAAACUCUUUUCAGUUUCUAA